UACGGAGGGUGCAAGCGUUAUCCGGAUUCACUGGGUUUAAAGGGUGCGUAGGUUGAUUGGUAAGUCAGUGGUGAAAUACUCCGACUCAAUCGGAGAACUGCCGUUGAUACUAUCAAUCUUGAAUAUGGUGGAGGCGGGCGGAAUGCGUCAUGUAGUGGUGAAAUACUUAGAUAUGACGCAGAACACCCAUUGCGAAGGCAGCUCGCUACGCCAUUAUUGACACUGAGGCACGAAAGCGUGGGGAUCAAACAGG
rnacentral:rRNA from 2 species